AAUAGGAAAUUUUUGUAUCAAUAAAACUGGAAUUAAGUUUGCAAUUAAAUUUUGUUUAGAUAAUAGCUUAUAAUGAAAGACGGUAUAGGAUAUUUGGUGAAACAAUAGACAUAGCUGUCGGUAACUGCCUGGAUAGAUUUGCCAGAGCCUUGAAGCUAUCUAAUGAUCCUAGUCCUGGUUAUAACAUUGAGCAAUUAGCUAAAAAUGGGAAAAACUAUUUGCCUCUGCCAUACGUUGUGAAGGGCAUGGACGUAUCUUUCUCUGGUUUAUUAUCUUAUAUUGAGGUACAUUUAUUUGUUAAUUUUUGAUAAAAAGAUUUUGUGGUAAUUAAUUUUAUUAUUUUUUUAAGG